rnacentral:rRNA from 1 species
AUGCUCGACCGGGAGGCCACCGCCGCCCAGACCUGCGCCUCCGUCGAGGCUCUCUUCGUCAACAACCGCCGGGCGCGGCGAUUCCAGCUCCAGACGGAGCUCUCUGAGACUCGUCAAGGGGACUCCUCAAUCUCCGUCUUCUGCGCCCGCCUCAAGUUCAUCUCCGACGCGCUGCGCGACGCCGGCAAGACACUGGACGAUGACGAGUUGGUCAUCCAACUUCUACGUGGCGUCAACAAGGAUCGUCAUCAGACUACCGCCAAGAUUAUAGAGAAGUCCCCAACUCCCAUCCCCUUUGACGUCGCCGUCGGCAUGCUUCUGCACGACGAGAUCGGCAACAACUUCGCCGGCUCCACCCAUCACAGCGCCCUCGCCGUCCAGCAGCGGGGUCCGUCGCCCGCGCCCUCGGGUGUGGCCUCCGGCGGCAGGCUCGGCCGCCCGCCCCCGGUCUCGGCGGCAGCAAACCGUAUUCUCCCUCACCCAACCAGGGGCACAACAAAUGCCGCCGCUACACCACCAACGGCGGGUAUCAAGGCGCCGCCGCUUCACCACCGCCAUGGACGGGGCAGGUCUAUGCCUACCCCAUGGCCCUGCCUCCUCCACCACGCUCGGCGCCUGGCAUCCUCGGCGCACGGCCGCCACAGGCCCAUGCCGCCUUCGGCGGCCCCCUGCAGCAGCAGCAGUACUCCUUCUACCCGGCCUUUCCGAUGCCGCUGCACCAGCCGCCGGCCUUCCACCAGCAGCCGUACUUGCCGGCGCCUUCCCAGCAGCAACAGUACAACCCUCCACCGGCCAGCUCUGAUGCUCAUGGAGUUGAUCACGCGGCGCUAA